AUGAACAAAAACACGUAUUUUAUAAAUUUAUGCACCAAAUUGAUCAUCGCAUGCAAGUUCUAUAACUUCUGGUGUAUUUACCUCAUUGCAUCUCGAAAAUCAGAUAGUAUUCCCGUAGCCGUGGUCGCCGUGACAUGCGUCCUCGGCCCCCGGCGUGGCGGACGACGAGUCCCAGCCCGAGGGGACGGCGGCCGACGCGGUCUAGACCUGCGUCCUUGCGACGAGGCGGCGUCGGUGACCGCGGGCCCUGGUACCUCCCAGCGCAGAGCACCCCGCGGCGUCGCGCUCGGUAUUUACAACCGGCCCUCUUCCGCGACGCCCGCACCCGCACGAUGCCUCCGAUGCGACGGCGACCUUGGCGUCACCGACCGACUGGAGGCACGGCUAGCGCCCAGCGCGCGGUGGCCCCCGGCCUCGAUGCCUCUGCUCCCGACGGAGACGGUGCCCGGCGCACACGGCGGCCAGCGGUCUGCGCGGUGUGGUGCCAACCCCCGGCGCGAGGGAGCGAAGGCCCGGCUCGCCUGA
rnacentral:rRNA from 1 species